ACGGCAUUAAGUAAGUAUCCUUUUAUAUCAUAUCUUUGUUGGAAUUUAGGAUUGGUCCGUAGCUAUUAAUAGUAAUUGUUUUGUUUGUAAUUUAAUGUUAUAUAGAUGUUCGAGUUAUUCUGAACAGAAUACAACGAAAAAAAACUUCGAUCCUGCCAGGAUUCGAACCUGGAAUCUUCUGAUCCGUAGUCAGACGCGUUAUCCGUUGCGCCACAGGACCGGCCUUGAUUUGGUGUAUUAUAUAUUAUCAGAAAUAUAACAUAUUGUUAAUAAUAUAAUAAAUAUAAUUAAAAUAACA